AUUGAACGCUGGCGGCAUGCCUUACACAUGCAAGUCGAACGGCAGCACGGGUGCUUGCACCUGGUGGCGAGUGGCGCACGGGUGAGUAAUACAUCGGAACAUGUCCUGUAGUGGGGGAUAGCCCGGCGAAAGCCGGCUUAAUACCGCAUACGAUCUACGGAUGAAAGCGGGGGACCUUAGGGCCUCGCGCUUUUGGGUUGGCCCAUGGCCGAUUAGCUAGUUGGUGGGGUAAAGGCCUACCAAGGCGACGAUCAGUAGCCGGCCUGAGAGGACGACCAGCGACACUGGAACUGAGACACGGCCCAGACUCCUACGGGAGGCAGCAGUGGGGAAUGUUGGACAAUGGGCGAAAGCCUGAUCCAGCAAUGCCGCGUGUGUGAAGAAGGCCUUCGGGUUGUAAAGCACUUUUGUCCGGAAAGAAAUCCUUGGCCCUAAUACGGUCGGGGGAUGACGGUACCGGAAGAAUAAGCACCGGCUAACUACGUG
rnacentral:rRNA from 1 species